UGCAACGAAAAGAGAUGAAAUGGAAAAAGAGUGUGGCCACAAGGUUAGUAGAGGAGAGGUAUGGAUAGCAACACAUAAACAUGCUAAUGGAGCCUUUGUGAGUGAUGAAGCGAGGGAAAUCAAUGAAAAAAUUCAAGUAUAUGAAUCAACAUCAUCAUCAUC